UACGUAGGGUGCGAGCGUUGUCCGGAAUUAUUGGGCGUAAAGGGCUCGUAGGCGGUUUGUCACGUCGGGAGUGAAAACUCGGGGCUUAACCCCGAGCCUGCUUCCGAUACGGGCAGACUAGAGGUAUGGCAGGGGAGAACGGAAUUCCUGGUGUAGCGGUGAAAUGCGCAGAUAUCAGGAGGAACACCGGUGGCGAAGGCGGUUCUCUGGGCAUUACCUGACGCUGAGGAGCGAAAGUGUGGGGAGCGAACAGG
rnacentral:rRNA from 1 species